ACCGGAUUGGACACUCACUAGUACGCGAAGCUCAUCACAGUCACAGGUGGAUGAAAGUUGUGAAAAUUGAUCAGGUACAAAGGAAUUUGGUGUUUCUGUUUCGGUCUGAUGUAUUUGGAUGGUAAAAUAUGUUGUUGGUAAACCGUUAUGAGUGAUGUAGAGUAAUAUGUUCUCUGUGAAACGAUUGAAUAUUUUCAUAGCCAUUUUCAAAACGUGAAGUCAGAUGUACGGCAACUCAGUUGCAUAGAUGUCCUUUUUUGCCAAGCAAAAUGGUUUAUACCUAAAUCCUUGUGGCAUGAAAACAUGAUGUCAAUAUUUAUUUAAUUUGAUGUUAAAGAAUUUACAUUUCCACCAUGAUGCAACAACAUGACACUUUACAGAUCAUUGUCCGAUUUUUGUGACAAAUUGUCAUUUCUCAAUGAUUAGACAAAUUCCCUGUACAUCAAGUUAAAUCAAAGAAAUAAUGGAGCUCCAGGGAUUACAACUGUUGAUCUGUUUCAAAUAGCUUGGCUGAUAUGAUUUUUGUUCAAAUUCUUUCUAAUUCAGUUUUUAACAGAGCCAUGGAAACACCUUAUGUUGCCAAAUUUGAUAGAUCAUUGUAUUCUCGUUCCUAGUGUUGGCCAAUGACUAACUAGCAACCGAGUCAUUUGAACCUGAAAACAUUGCAGUUGGUUUAAGUUAUGCUGAAUCUCCAAGAUAUUGAAGAGCCCAUAAAAUCAAAUUCUUUGCUGCCACUUUUUUUUAGUGAAAAAUGAGAGAGAAUGCAGCCACUAAGAAGGUUGCCACUACUUGAGUUCUAAUUUAGGCUGAUAUAAGAUUGAUUGAUUAUAUCGGUAUUUCUUUCGGUUGCAACAAUCUGGUUUGACAUUAUUGUCAUCUAAUAAUUCUUUCAUCAGGUUAGUCCCUUGCUGCUGUUCCACAUCCAUAUUUUGGACUUGAUAUGUUUUGGAAAGUGACUUUUCCUUAAAAGUUUCCACAGGUUUUUUUUAACAGGCUGGUGAAGUCUUAGCUUCUUCAUUGCGUAGAGGUUGCGUGAGAACGGGACGUGUUUCAUCAUAAUCAAGUAAGUCAAUAGCCGCAAGUUGCAGAAGGAAAGGGUUGCAUGUCCAUCCUGCCCGAAGGUCACGGAGAUCAUUUCGUAAAACCUGUCAUGCAGUGGUGUAGAGGUUCAUGGGUGAGAACGGGCGUGUUUCACAUCAUCAUUAUUAAGCAGGUACAAUAGAUAGCCGCAAGGCUUAAGAGGUUAGGAUGCGAAAAAAAUCUUUCUCACUCGACUGAUUUCUACCUCCUUUUCUUUCUACUUUUAUAAUUCAUUUUAUUUAUAUUUUAUUUAUAAUAAUUAAUUUCUCUUUCCUUUUAUAAAAGGAGAGAGAAAAAAAGGUAGAAAUCAGUCGAUUGAGGAUCUCCGACACGGACACGUCAACAACUGCAGUGAAUUAUCUGUCACUAACUGCAUUCCUCAUCGUGUAACCAAAUCGCAAUCAUGGCAGGUACAAUUUCCGCACGGCUCGAGUUGAAAGGUGAAUCACGAAAAGGAAAAACUUAUUAAACGAGAGAAAUGUCGAUAAAACUCAAUCAAAUGAGCAUCUCCGACAUGGCAAAUUGGCAACUUCCAGUUCGCAAUUAUGGGCAAAUAUUCUUACUUUUUUUUAUUUAGUUAUGUAUCAAUCCCAUUUGUCUCUUUUAGUUAGUAUGCCAGUUAUUAUUGAUUAUUAAUGUGGAAACUAAUUUCUCGGUUAACCAUAGCGUCGUGCUGCUGUUGGGUGUUGUAUCGUUGAUGACUGGGUCGACCACUGGUGUACCGAUGUCUUCUCUUGGUAUGGCGGAUACCAAACUGCAACGCCGCCGCCUUACUACCCAAAAGCAACUCACGCUACGACCAGUUACUGCGCCGAGACCCUUAAGUACUACACCACUAAGGUACUGGUGUAUUAUACCACAACUUAACUGCCCCCAGCUACUACCCUGACGCCCCGAAGUAUUACUCUGCCCCCAGCUACACCAACAAGGUACCGGGGUACUACACGAAUACGUAUGCUGCCCUAACCUACUACACCGAGGCUCCCAACUACUACAACGAGGCUCCGGCUGAUUACUAAACCAAAACGGUAGCUAAAAGCCUAGCUACAACACCGAAGCUCCCAAGUACUACAUCAAAGAUAUCGCACAUUACACAAGUCAACCACGUCCGCCGCCCCAGUUUACUUCACCGAGGAAUCCAAGUAUUACUCUGCUCCAAGCUACUACCAAACUGAGGCUCAUAAGUACUACACCAGCAAGGUUCCUGAGUAUUACACCCCUACUUACGCUGCUACGACCUACACAUCGAAGUUCCAUAGUAUUCCUAUGCCCUGAGUUACUACACUACUAGAGCACCGACAAAUUACAACACAAUCUUUCUUCUUCGUAUGCUGUUCCGAAUUUCCGAUUGUUGCUGUCCAAUGAGGUUUGAUAUUGCAGCUAACAUUUAUGUGUAUCAAAUUUAAUUUUGACUGUUACUUGGUGCUGGUAUUGUGUUUUAAAAGUUGCAAUUUGUAUUUUGUUCAAUUGACUUUUUGUCUAUUUCGUUCGGACGUUAAGAUAUAAGAAGAAGAAAAACAAACACGAGGAAUUUUAUGACAAACAAAUAAUAAACAAAUUUUUGCAAUUAGGAAAGGAAGGAGGAGGAAAUUGGGGGAAGGGAAGGAAAAUCAUUUUCACAUUUCAAAUGAAAUUACAUUAAUUAAUUAUUCGUGACAUUUUCAUGUUGUUUACUAGUAAUAUAAUACGAUUAAUACGUAUGACAUAUAAAAUUGUUCCGUCAUAAUAAACUUUAUCUCUAAUUUA